ACGCCGCGUGAGUGAUGAAGGUUUUCGGAUCGUAAAACUCUGUUGUUAGGGAAGAACAAGUACCGUUCGAAUAGGGCGGUACCUUGACGGUACCUAACCAGAAAGCCACGGCUAACUACGUGCCAGCAGCCGCGGUAAUACGUAGGUGGCAAGCGUUGUCCGGAAUUAUUGGGCGUAAAGCGCGCGCAGGCGGUUUCUUAAGUCUGAUGUGAAAGCCCCCGGCUCAACCGGGGAGGGUCAUUGGAAACUGGGGAACUUGAGUGCAGAAGAGGAGAGUGGAAUUCCACGUGUAGCGGUGAAAUGCGUAGAGAUGUGGAGGAACACCAGUGGCGAAGGCGACUCUCUGGUCUGUAACUGACGCUGAGGCGCGAAAGCGUGGGGAGCGAACAGGAUUAGAUACCCUGGUAGUCCACGCCGUAAACGAUGAGUGCUAAGUGUUAGAGGGUUUCCGCCCUUUAGUGCUGCAGCAAACGCAUUAAGCACUCCGCCUGGGGAGUACGGUCGCAAGACUGAAACUCAAAGGAAUUGACGGGGGCCCGCACAAGCGGUGGAGCAUGUGGUUUAAUUCGAAGCAACGCGAAGAACCUUACCAGGUCUUGACAUCCUCUGACAACCCUAGAGAUAGGGCUUCCCCUUCGGGGCAGAGU
rnacentral:rRNA from 1 species